rnacentral:rRNA from 1 species
CUACCCUGCAGUCGAGCGGUAGCACAGAGAGCUUGCUCUCGGGUGACGAGCGGCGGACGGGUGAGUAAUGUCUGGGAAACUGCCUGAUGGAGGGGGAUAACUACUGGAAACGGUAGCUAAUACCGCAUAACGUCGCAAGACCAAAGUGGGGGACCUUCGGGCCUCAUGCCAUCAGAUGUGCCCAGAUGGGAUUAGCUAGUAGGUGGGGUAAUGGCUCACCUAGGCGACGAUCCCUAGCUGGUCUGAGAGGAUGACCAGCCACACUGGAACUGAGACACGGUCCAGACUCCUACGGGAGGCAGCAGUGGGGAAUAUUGCACAAUGGGCGCAAGCCUGAUGCAGCCAUGCCGCGUGUAUGAAGAAGGCCUUCGGGUUGUAAAGUACUUUCAGCGAGGAGGAAGGCGUUAAGGUUAAUAACCUUAGCGAUUGACGUUACUCGCAGAAGAAGCACCGGCUAACUCCGUGCCAGCAGCCGCGGUAAUACGGAGGGUGCAAGCGUUAAUCGGAAUUACUGGGCGUAAAGCGCACGCAGGCGGUCUGUCAAGUCGGAUGUGAAAUCCCCGGGCUCAACCUGGGAACUGCAUUCGAAACUGGCAGGCUAGAGUCUUGUAGAGGGGGGUAGAAUUCCAGGUGUAGCGGUGAAAUGCGUAAAGAUCUGGAGGAAUACCGGUGGCGAAGGCGGCCCCCUGGACAAAGACUGACGCUCAGGUGCGAAAGCGUGGGGAGCAAACAGGAUUAGAUACCCUGGUAGUCCACGCCGUAAACGAUGUCGACUUGGAGGUUGUGCCCUUGAGGCGUGGCUUCCGGAGCUAACGCGUUAAGUCGACCGCCUGGGGAGUACGGCCGCAAGGUUAAAACUCAAAUGAAUUGACGGGGGCCCGCACAAGCGGUGGAGCAUGUGGUUUAAUUCGAUGCAACGCGAAGAACCUUACCUACUCUUGACAUCCAGAGAACUUAGCAGAGAUGCUUUGGUGCCUUCGGGAACUCUGAGACAGGUGCUGCAUGGCUGUCGUCAGCUCGUGUUGUGAAAUGUUGGGUUAAGUCCCGCAACGAGCGCAACCCUUAUCCUUUGUUGCCAGCGAUUCGGUCGGGAACUCAAAGGAGACUGCCAGUGAUAAACUGGAGGAAGGUGGGGAUGACGUCAAGUCAUCAUGGCCCUUACGAGUAGGGCUACACACGUGCUACAAUGGCAUAUACAAAGAGAAGCGACCUCGCGAGAGCAAGCGGACCUCAUAAAGUAUGUCGUAGUCCGGAUUGGAGUCUGCAACUCGACUCCAUGAAGUCGGAAUCGCUAGUAAUCGUAGAUCAGAAUGCUACGGUGAAUACGUUCCCGGGCCUUGUACACACCGCCCGUCACACCAUGGGAGUGGGUUGCAAAAGAAGUAGGUAGCUUAACCUUCGGGAGGGCGCUAC